rnacentral:rRNA from 1 species
CCUACGGGUGGCUGCAGUCGAGAAUCAUUCACAAUGGGGGAAACCCUGAUGGUGCGACGCCGCGUGGGGGAAUGAAGGUCUUCGGAUUGUAAACCCCUGUCAUGUGGGAGCAAAUUAAAAAGAUAGUACCACAAGAGGAAGAGACGGCUAACUCUGUGCCAGCAGCCGCGGGAAUACAGAGGUCUCAAGCGUUGUUCGGAAUCACUGGGCGUAAAGCGUGCGUAGGCUGUUUCGUAAGUCGUGUGUGAAAGGCGCGGGCUCAACCCGCGGACGGCACAUGAUACUGCGAGACUAGGGUAAUGGAGGGGGAACCGGAAUUCUCGGUGUAGCAGUGAAAUGCGUAGAUAUCGAGAGGAACACUCGUGGCGAAGGCGGGUUCCUGGACAUUAACUGACGCUGAGGCACGAAGGCCAGGGGAGCGAAAGGGAUUAGAUACCCCAGUAGUC